UUAGUUAGUUAGUUAGUUAGUUAGUUAGUUAGUUUGCUUUUUCCUUCCCUAACAAUGACUAAAAAUGGCGAAGCUACAAAAGUCUGUAUCGCCUGACUUAUAAAAGGUGUGAUAAUGAGGGUAAUUAGUGACUUAUAAAAGGUGUGAUAAUGAGGGUAAUUAGUGACUUAUAAAAGGUGUGAUAAUGAGGGUAAUUAGUGACUUAUAAAAGGUGUGAUAAUGAGGGUAAUUAGUGACUUAUAAAAGGUGUGAUAAUGAGGGUAAUUAGUGACUUAUAAAAGGUGUGAUAAUGAGGGUAAUUAGUGACUUAUAAAAGGUGUGAUAAUGAGGGUAAUUAGUGACUUAUAAAAGGUGUGAUAAUGAGGGUAAUUAGUGACUUAUAAAAGGUGUGAUAAUGAGGGUAAUUAGUGACUUAUAAAAGGUGUGAUAAUGAGGGUAAUUAGUGACUUAUAAAAGGUGUGAUAAUGAUGGCAAUUAGUGACUUAUAAAAGGUGUGAUAAUGAGGGUAAUUAGUGACUUAUAAAAGGUGUGAUAAUGAGGGU